rnacentral:rRNA from 1 species
GAUGAACGCUAGCGGCAUGCCUAAUACAUGCAAGUCGAGCGACCAGAUAGGUAGCUUUCUCCUCUGACGUUAGCGGCGGACGGGUGAGUAACACGUGGAUAACCUACCUAUAAGACUGGGAUAACUUCGGGAGACCGGCGCUAAUACCAGAUAAUAUAUUUAACCGCAUGGUUCAAUAGUGAAAGACGGUUUUGCUGUCACUUAUCGAUGGAUCCGCGCCGCAUUAGCUAGUUGGUAAGGUAACGGAUUACCAAGGCAACGGUGCGUAGCCGACCUGAGAGGGUGGUCGGCCACACUGGAACUGAGACACGGUCCAGACUCAGACGGGAGGCAGCAGUAGGGAAUCUUCCGCAAUGGGCGAAAGCCUGAGGGAGCAACGCCGCGUGAGUGAUGAAGGUCUUCGGAUCGUAAAACUCUGUUAUUAGGGAAGAAGAAAUGUGUAAGUAACUAUGCACGUCUUGAAGGUACCUAAUCAGAAAGCCACGGCUAACUACGUG